UACGGGGGGGGCAAGCGUUGUUCGGAAUGACUGGGCGUAAAGGGCGCGUAGGCGGUUCGUACAGUCAGACGUGAAAUUCCCGGGCUCAACCUGGGGGCUGCGUUUGAUACGUGCGGGCUUGAGUUCGGAAGAGGGUCGUGGAAUUCCCAGUGUAGAGGUGAAAUUCGUAGAUAUUGGGAAGAACACCGGUGGCGAAGGCGGCGACCUGGUCCGAUACUGACGCUGAGGCGCGAAAGCGUGGGGAGCAAACAGG
rnacentral:rRNA from 1 species